GAUGGCGAGUGUGCUAUCGUGUGCGGCGAGGAGUGCGGGCGUGCGGUGCGGGCGUGGGUGGGCGAGCAGGACGGACAGAGGAUCCUGCUCACCACGCCCUCGGUGCUGGUGGGCUUCAGGGUGCAGGUGUACCGGGCCGAAGGCACGACCCAGUGGUACACGGCGGUCAUCGUGGGCUACAACCACGCAACAAGGGAGCUGACGGUGACCGACGACACGGUGUUGGAAGAGCACUCUGAAGACCCGAGCUUAGUGCAGAUUCGGCUUAUCGGCGAGGGAGUGGUGGAGAGCAUCUUACGGGGAGAAAAUGUCGGUAUUACGCCACGCCGGUCUCGCACCGCAACCAACAACCACCACCAGACAGGGGUGAGUGUCCAGGAGCUUCUAUGUGUGUGUGU